GGCGGGGAGCCCCCUAGGGGCGAGCCGCCGGGGACCACUGAACUUCAUGCCUGAAAGUGAUGCAGUCUGAGCCUGAAUACAAAUCAGUCAAAACUUUCAACAAUGGAUCUCUUGGUUCCGGCAUCGAUGAAGAACGCAACGAACUGCGAUAAGUAAUGUGAAUUGCGCAAUUCAGUGAAUCGUCCAGUCUUUGAACGCACAUUGCGCCCCCUGGCAUUCCGGGGGGCAUGCCUGUCCGACCGUCAUUGCUGCCCUCAUGCCCGGCUUGUGAGAUCCAUCGUCGACACCUUUGACUGAUUUGUAUUCAGGCUCACACUGCAUCACUCUCAGGCAUGAAGUUCAGUGGGUCCUCGGCGACCCGCUCGAUUAGGGCCGGCCGGCGCCACCGGCGUCUCCAACUUUAUUUUUCUCGGUUGACCUCCGAUCAGGAAAGAAUACCCGCUGAACUUAACUAUCAAUAAGCGAAGGA
rnacentral:rRNA from 1 species